AUUGUUCAAAAAAUUGUUUUCUUAGUACCUGUUAGAAUAUUACAUUUUUUUUUUUUUUUUAGCAUCAUUGUCAGAAUUCCUAUCUUCAUCCCAGUGCCGGUGAAGACAAAGAUGAAACCAAACUACAGUUUCUUCAAUAGUUAUCACAACAAACUGUAUAAACUGAUGCAUCUAUGAAUAAUAACUCAACAAGUAAUGCUCAAUCAAUGAGUCGAUUUAUUUUGGGAGGAAAUGGGCAUAUUGAUAGAUUCCUCCGCUUUGAACUGCUUACAGAACUUGCCUGGACUAUGUAUCACUUGUAUGCAUUGUGAUCUAUCUGUUGAUGCAGCAAAUUAUGGUAGUGCUGGCGUAUCUUUGCUGAUGUGUCACCAGUGAUGCAAUUUUUCCUAAGGAGCCGUCAGUUGACUUGGUGUUGUGGCAUUUCUGUAUCCUCCUCCCUUCUACUAGUGAUGGUCUAAUUUUGGGGGCCAACAGAGGUGAGGCAAAGAACCUCACCCCCCCCACUGGUGCAUAGGCCUAUCCACAAGUAUGGCUAUAUGCUGGACCGGUAGUCAGUGACAGGUAUGAUCCAAUUGCAGUGGUAUCAACCUAAGAUAGGAGGCUGAUACCUAGAGGUCAGUUCAUCCCAUGACAGGUAAGAACCGUAUGUUGAAUUGGACAAACCUAACAGGCAUGGUCCCUAGCCACAUUGCUUGUUACUUAAUUAACAGAAAGGGGGAGAUGCUAAGAGCCACAGCCAAGUAAUAUGAUGCAUGGCAUUUUUGGUUGAAAGGUGAUGCCAGCAAGCCAUUGAGAUGAUAUGAUUAUGUUAAGAUUUGCAUUCAUAUGGAUAUUGGACUCCUGCUGUCCACCUAGGCCUGCUAUGGGACUCCUGGAGAGUUCCCAUUGGUUGGGGAAGUGCGGUAGGAGGGAAUUCUGGAGGAGGAACUUCCUCUUGGGAUCUGGGAGAAUGCUGUGUGUGUGGAUCGGCAAUCUUCCCGGGUGCGUACGGGGUAUUGGCGGCAGUUUCAAAAAAUAAAGUUUGUUCCUGCUUGAGUGGCUCGUGAUUUUGUGCCCAGCCAGACUGUGGCAAAAGAACUUUUCUAGAAGGUCUCAGCAAACUUAACCUUAUAUUUCAUUGGCCAAAAUUGGGUUACAUUCCCUUUCCUAAAUUAGUCGCUAAUAAAGAUGGAAGGAAUUAUUCUUAGC
rnacentral:lncRNA from 1 species